ACUAUUGGAGUGGACAUUGUAUCCAGCUACAAAGUCAGCGCAAAUGCAGUUGGUGUUUAAGAAAUCUUUAACCCAAGUAACUUCAAACGCCAGCACCGUGAUUGUGUUAGCAUUCUUAAGAUCGACCCUGAAGUUAAAGGACGAGACGGAGCAUAUACUAUUUAUCCUGACGGUAACGCAAAGAAGAGAGUUUUCUGUGAUAUGACUACCGAGGGUGGUGGAUGGACGGUUAUUCAGCGACGAAUACAAGCGGGAACUACAAAUUUUUACAGAACAUGGAAAGACUAUAAGGCAGGUUUCGGUCAAGCAGGAUCGGAUUAUUGGUUAGGCAACGAUGCAAUUCACGCUCUGACCUCCAGUCCAUCUCAAGAACUAUGGGUGGACCUAGAACAAUUUUCCGGAGCUAAAGCUUAUGCCAGAUACUCGAAUUUUGCCAUUGACAAUGAUAAAAACAUGUUUUAAUUGUCAAUCAGUGGAUAUAGUGGAACUGCAGGCGAUGGACUUUCACCUCAUAAUGGACAUGUCUUUGCUACAAAAGAUAAACCUGAUGGUCCAAUAUGUGCUAUCACCUAUAAAGGUGCUUGGUGGUAUAAUAAAUGCUAUCAAUCGAAUCUCAACGGACCUUAUCACAAAUCUGCUUCCAACACCUACACGGCAAUUGUAUGGAUUCCAUGGAAAGACAAGACAGCCUUGAAAUC